rnacentral:rRNA from 1 species
AACGAACGCUGGCGGCAUGCCUAACACAUGCAAGUCGAACGAGACCUUCGGGUCUAGUGGCGCACGGGUGCGUAACGCGUGGGAACCUGCCCUUAGGUUCGGAAUAACUCCCCGAAAGGGGUGCGAAUACCGGAUAAUGUCUUCGGACCAAAGAUUUAUCGCCUUUGGAUGUGCCCGCGUUGGAUUAGCUAGUUGGUAGGGUAAAAGCCUACCAAGGCGACGAUCCAUAGCUGGUCUGAGAGGAUGAUCAGCCACACUGGGACUGAGACACGGCCCAGACUCCUACGGGAGGCAGCAGUGGGGAAUAUUGGACAAUGGGCGCAAGUCUGAUCCAGCAAUGCCGCGUGAGUGAUGAAGGCCUUAGGGUUGUAAAGCUCUUUUACACGGACUGAUAAUGACAGUACCGGGAGAAUAAGCUCCGGCUAACUACGUG